rnacentral:rRNA from 1 species
GGUGAACGCUGGCGGUGUGCUUAAGACAUGCAAGUCGAACGGCAGUCUUCGGCCUGUCGUGGCGCACGGCGGAGUAACGCUGAACUGACCUACCCCAACGUCGCGGAUAGCGAUUCGAAAGAAUCUCUAAUACGGGAUGUGCUCUCAGAUAGUGUUAUGCCAGUAAAGAUUCAUUGCUUUGGGAUGGUGUUGCGUUCCAUCGGCUCGUUGGUGGGGUAAAGGCCCACCAAGGCGACGACGGAUAGCCGGGCGGAGUGGGUGGCCGACCACGGGGGGACUGAGACACGGGUCGCCCUCCUACGGGAGGCAGCAGUUAGGAAUCUUCCACAAUGGGCGAAAGCCUGAUGGAGCGACGCCGCGUGAGGGAUGAAGGUCUUCGGAUCGUAAACCUCUGAAUCAGGGACGAAAGACACGUUAUGUGGGAUGACGGUACCUGAGUAAUAGCACCGGCUAACUUCGUGCCAGCAGCCGCCGUAAAAC